GUGAGAUUAAAAAUUAUAUAAAAUAAAAUGACAUAUACUACAGGAUAAAAUCCUUUAGAAUGAACAUGGGUGGGUGGGUGGGUGGGUGGGUGGGGAAAAGGUAUCGAAGCACUAAACUUGCUGCAGCUAGGCAAAGCAUACAAUGGCAGAAUGAAUACCCGGACCAAAGCACUGAUCACAAGGUAUAUGAAACAACCCCCUUUGAUCGAUAUGCCGUCCUACCCUCAGCAGAUGUGGCCUGCAUAAUACAUCCGCCGUUAACCUAGCUUGCUUAAUUUAAAUGUAUUUAACCACAUCAAGAGCUGAUGUAAUAAUACAUUGUCAAUUUAACUCUGCAAUCCGUAAAGACUGAUUUGCAUAUAGCACACACAAGGCAAGAUAAACCCAGACUAUUUCACAUCAGUGACCAUGAUUUAGCUGCAACAUUUACAACCAAAUGGAUACCAAGUUAUUAAGCAAAUUCCUUCAAAUUUAAUUGCAACCCCCCCCCCCC